GAGGUCCUUAGUGAUGAGGAUUUUUAGGCUGCUUAAUUUUAAAAUGGCUUAUGAUGAGGAUUUUUAGGCUGGUUAGUUUUAAAACUACAGAUGAGAUUCAGGCUCCAAGGAGUGGAAUUUGUUUGCCUCUUUGUUGGGAAACAUUUACAUUUCUAAGGGAAACCUCUAUCUGUGAAGAUGCCUCCCUCUCUGUGCCAGGAAGAGGGGGGGAUGGUCUUAUCUCUAGAGGCUCUUGGUCAAUGCCAGAGGCAAGAACUUAAGUUGGUUACUGUCUGGCAACCUCAUGUGACUGACCCUCCCCCCCACAAAUCCUCCUUUGUCUUUAGCUGAGGAUAAAAUUCAAGCGGUGACUUCUGCCAUUUACUCAAUCCGGUUUGAUUCUUAUCUACCAUUUUAACUUUUUUACAUAUUCUUUGUCUUGUAAAGAGAUGACUCACAUACCUAUGCCUUAAAUUUAGUCCUAACCCUCAAGUCGGGGCAGCAGCAGGAGCUCUGACUGCCCGUGGGUCCUGUCCCCACGCACCAGCUCUGCCUGCCCAUGGGUCCUGUCCCCAUGCCAGCGGGGGCAGCAGCAGCAGCUCUGCCUGCCCAUGGGCUCUGUCCCCGUACCAGCGGGGGCAGCAGAAGCUCUGACUGCCCAUGGGUCCUGUCCCCAUGCUAUUCCACACUAUUCUCUAAAUAAAAGAGCACUACUGCCAGAUCUUGAGAGUCUAAGAAAUCUUUCUUUCGACUCCUCGGCUCACCGACCCCGCAUCACUUAGCAUGGUGCUUCUUUCUUGUUUCUCAGUCUCCCUUAGAGUCUUAGCUCCUGCAAAUUUCUCAAGAGCACCUUGAAAUUCAGAGAUGCCAAUUUCUAGUCCUUUAAGGCAUCAUACUGUUUACUUCUCUGUGAAGGUAUGUGCCAUCCUUUCUGCAUGGCAUGCUUUCUUCUUAUCCUUCCCAUCUCUGCACAACUUAUUUUCUUAUCAGGUGGAGUAUAUUCUACUCCUACUCAUCAUUAAAGAUUCAACUCUGGAGCAAACCUUUUCAAUAGUUUUCCUAACACUCCUGAAAUCUCCCUCUCUGUCUCAAUUCCAUCCGCUGGUUUCCAUUGCAUUCAGUGUUCACCUUUAACUGUACAUUACCUUAGUGUGGUGUAAUUUCGUCUUAACUGUGACACGCUUGAGGGAAAGUACUUUGUAUCCCCAGCACCUGGAAUAGUACCUGGCACAAACAUGGCAUUCAGAAAGACCUGUGAAAUGAACGACCAUGUUCAAUGCUCCCACGGUACUUUAUACUUCUUCUCACUGCCUUGUAGUUCUUUCAUUUACAAAUCUUUCUCUACUGGAUUAUGAAACAUCCCCAACAGUUACACAAUUCUAGACACAAACUAAGUACUGUAGAAAUGUUAACUGAUGUCUAAUUUGCAAGUUUUUAUGUAUUUCAAAAUACUAUUCAAGGUUAGGAUCUAUUUCAGAGAUUAAUAUAAAACAGGAUAUAUGACUUGUUACUAUUUUAGUGGUGACCAUAAGAUGUGAAUGAGAAGAACUUGAUACUAAUUUUAUAUGGACUUACUUCCUCUUCCACAUUUAAUUUUCUUGGCUUUUCAAGAUUGUUCCUAACAAAUAUAAGUUUUAUCAAUGUCUUCUUAAGGGAAAUGGAAGAAAUAAGAGGGAAGAAGAACAGAAGAUGGAAAGCGACUUGUGACUUGUGAACCUGUGAACAGAGGAAGGAAAAGGAAAGAAUGAAAGAAGGAAAGGAAGCGGAAGGUUAGAAAAGGAUAGGCAGGUACAGGGAAGUUGGUGGUGCUUAACUUCAUGGUUUAGUUCAUAAAUCACUAGACCAAUGAAAAGCCAUACCCUAAACAGAUGUGGAUGAUUGCGCAUCACCUGGAGUUCCUGAAUUACUGAGACAAAAAUGACUGGCGGGACUUUGCGUCUCCUUUUUGUGAGGAGAAUAUGAGAAGAACUUUCUACAAAGAAUAGUUGUACCAUAUUAGGUGGAAGCUUGACAGUAUUGCAUGAAAGUAAAAUACGGAAGGAGGGUAAGAUUGGGUGCAGAGUGAUCUGUCUUGGUCUAUUUUGCUCUCAGAUCCAUUCUUCACUCUUCUCUGACUCUGCUCUGUAUACUCUCCCCUGGGGCUGUGAGGGGAGGGGUGAUUUCUUUGGCUUGCAUUUUCCAUAAUGACUACUGGCUUCUGGAUUGGUUUGACCAGUAGGAGUCACUAGAGGAGACUGAAGAAGAAGAAGAAGUGAGAAUCCAGGGCAUUUCUCAUUCUUUCUUCUUGCCUUCAGCAGCAUCUCUGGCAGCAGCUGCAUCUUUUCUGUUGCUAUAUCUUCUUCCACGGUUGCAGCUUCUUCUGGUGAACUUAAACCUUGAGCUUCUGUCAAAAUCUCCUCUCCUCAUUUUUCUAGGCGAGAUUUGCUAUUGCUAAUCUAUGUGUUACCUCACCAUCCUCUGUUUGGCUUCUCAGUCUUUCCCUCACCUGUGUAACCAAUUUCCUGUAUUGUUUCCUCUGUUUAAAACAUUUUGAAUGUUUUUGGUUUUUUGCUCGGAUCCUUAAACUGACACAUUAUGAGCUUAAUAAGUAUUUAUUGAAUGAAUACACUUAAUAAAUGGGGAACUGGAAAUAUUCUGGAGCCACGACAAGCAAAAGCAUGUAGGAGGUGGAGACAUUUGAGUGAAGAUAGUGAGUUUGAUUCUAGAUAUGUAGAAUUUGGGAAAAUAUGGUGGUAAUGAAUCAUUGGCUGAAGUGUGGGAAGGGCAUUGGGACUGUGAGAUCUGUUUCCACAGAAAUGAGUCCUGAGGUAGAAGCAACAGCAAUAGAGAAAAUUAACAAUGGAGAAUGUGUAGAGGAUGAAUGACAAUAAAAGGUCAUGGAGAAAAACUUGAGAAGCCAUAGAGAUGGACUAUCAGGGAACCAAUAAAAGACUAGAAAGAUUAGUCAUAAAGUUAGGGAAAGGAUCUGCCCACCAUUGAGGGCAAUGUCCUACAAAUGAGGUAAAAGAGAUAAAGAGGGAAAAAAUAGUUAAAUGCUAAGUAGUAGAGGGCAGUCAGGGAAAAGGUAAACUAAGAAAGGUUGUUGGGUUUGUUCAUUAAGAGGUUGUUGAUGGUCUUGAAAGUGUGGUUUCAUUAGUAGUGUUGAUGAGGAUUUUUAGGCUGCUUAAUUUUAAAACAGUUUAUGAUGAGGAUUUUUAGGCUGUUUAAUUUUAAAACUGCAGAUGAGAACCAGGCUCCGAGGAGUGGAAUUUGCUUGACCUUUGAUCAGAGACAGUUGCAUUUGUGAAGGAAAUCUCCAUGCCUCCCUCUCUGCGCCAGGAGGAAGGGGGUAUGGCCUUAUCUCUGGAAACUCUUAAUGGGGAAGGCAAGAACUUAAGUUGUUUACUGUCUGGCAAACUCAUGUAACUGACCCCCCACCCCAAAAUCCUCCUUUGUCUUUAGCUGAAGAUAAUAUUUGAGCUGUGACUUCUGCCAUUUACUCAAUCCGGUUUGAUUCUUAUCUAAAAGUUGUGGGACUGCCCAAUGGCCGGACCCUACUGGCACUGGUACCAUUUUAACUUUUUUUUCUUUGUCUUGUAAAGAGAUGACUCACAUACCUAUGCCUUAAAUUUAGCCCUAACCCUCAACUCCGGGCAGCAGCAGGAGCUCUGACUGCCCGUGGGUAUUGUCCCCAGGCACCAGCUCUGCCUGCCCGUGGGUCCUGUCCCCAUGCCAGCGGGGGCAGCAGAAGCAGCAGCAGAAGCUCUGACUGCCCAUGGGUCCUGUCCCCAUGCUACACUAUUCUCUAAAUAAAAGAGCACUACUGCCAGAUCUUGAGAGUCGAAGAAAUCUUUCUUUCGACUCCCCGGCUCACCGACCCCGCAUCAUUUCGAUGGCUGAUCACCGGCUGCCAAAUGGUAAAGUAGGUGAGGAAAAAAUUCAAGUUAAAAGUAUACAGAGAGAAUCUGAUUACAGAAAUUUCCUCAGAAAUGAAAGACAGAGUUAGUACAAUAGCUAGAAGGGGUAAGGAAGGUGUUUUUCUAUUUGUUUGUUUGUUUUUUAGGACAUGUAAAAUCUAAGCAUACAGAGGAAAAAUACCAAUGGAUAUUGCAUGAAUAAACUACAGAGGACAAGUGAUAAAAUAAAACUCUGGGAAAAGUGAGCAAAAAUGGGGUUCAAGACACAGGGAAAUAGAUAAACAAACAAAAAUGGCAAGUAAUAGGAUAUAUUGGAAUAUAUGAGGAAGCCAUUUGGUGUAAACCUAAUUCGGCCUGACCUUGUCUUUCCAAAAGGGCCUGACCGAGGCCAUUGAGCAUGCAUUGUAUAUCUGCUUUAGAGAUUCCCUAUGGCAAGAGCAAAAGGCCCUUGAGAUAAAGGUGCAACUUCCCUCCCCCUCCCAAAGUUGGUGUCUCCUUAAGGAUUAAGUAUCUUUCCUUAGGCUAGAAGCUGAUUGCUGCUCUCACCUGUGACCACCCAGCUGGAGACAAUAGACUUGCCUCCUGCUACGCCCACCAAGAUAGCAGACCCACUACCUGCUGUGUCCAUCAAGUGCUGUGCCGACAGGGCAAUCUUGUGACUAUUGUGGGAGGGACAUUUCAAUCAUAUGUGAAACACCCUCUUUGAGGGUAUAUAACCACCCUUAUACCCCCACUUCUUUGGAGUGCUCUGUUCCUUUGUGAAAAGACUCUCCCGGGUUAUAAUCCUAAGAUUUAAGCUCAGAAUAAACUCACCCAAAUUUUCAUCUACAGAUUGGUUAUGGAUUAUUUUCGUCGACAAUACACUGGGGGAAAUGUAAAAUACAUAUAUUUUAAAAUGGAAAGUAACAGAUACUAAUAGACAGAGUAAAGAGGUAGUUGGAGAUGGAGAGUAGGGAAGCUUGAGGAGCUUGUGAUAGCCUGGAUCUCAUCUGGUGAAAGCGAGGGAGUCGGGGUAUGGAUGAGCAUUUUGAGAGAUUGGUUGUGGUUAGAAAACAAGAAAUACAUAAACCAGGGUGUCCUCAGAGAAAGUGAUUGCUGGGCAGGACUAAGGGAAUGCUGGUGGGUAAGUUAGGUUCGAGAAGUAACAGGGCGCAGUAGGUAGGAAGGUCAAGAGCACUUGAUUACCCUCUGAAUGAGGUGACCUAGAAAGUGUUAAGUGGAGGCUGACACCAAGUCGAUUGUCACUGAUAGAAAAUGUAUCUACGGAUAGGGGAAGGGAAAGAUGAGGAUCUCGGUGUAUGACAUCUUAAGUUGGAAUCUAAAAUGUCCAGCAUGCAGUUGGAGAUGUUGGACUAAAUCUCAGAGAAGCAGAUGUAAAUUUGAAGUCAGUAGGAAAGAGUUGAUAGUGAAGCUCAGAAAGUGAAUGAGACCUCUGAGGUCCACAGUGUAUAAUGAGAAAGUUAGAAUGCCAAGGACUACAUGUAUAGCCACAUCUGGCGAUAAGAGAGGAAAUGGAGUCAGAGAAUACGCAGACGUGAAAAAUUAAAAACCUCUUCUCAAGCAGAAAGUAGCAGUGCUGUUUCUCUAAGUUAAAUUCCCUUAACUCACAAGUUUCACAAGUGGACCUGCUGGUUUUGUCCAUAUCCUGUGCAUUUGCAUCCCUAAUAGACAUCUCGCAGAGCGCUUUGAAUAGCCCUAAUGUUUUUCCACAUUUAAGAAGAUGAGCCCAUUCACAGAGACGCACGCUAACUGAAAGAGAAAUUUCUGCAAAUAGUUCGUAAUAGGCACAUUCAGGGCUUACAAAGCACACUGAAAAUUCUUAGAGAUGUAUAUGUAGGGGCGGAAUCGAUUCAUAUGGAUGGGUUGAGGGUGAGAACAUGGAGUUGUCAUAAUCAAGACUUCAAAUUCUCUCUUGAAAAUUAGAAAGAUGACUUUUCUGUUCCAAGUCCUUUGAAAUAAAUUACUGCAUGCCAUAUACUCUCAGGAAUUCAUUGUGGCCUAAGACUAUACUAUGGUGGCUAAGGCUUUUCUGAGACAUCUGGCCCAUUUAUGAGACACAAUAUUACUCUGUUCACCUAGGAUAAGACCUUCACAACACAAGAAGCUCUAGUCCCUCAGAGUUGACACACUCUUGAAGCUGUAGGUAGCAUCCUGGAUACAGUCGUCUCUCAUCCCCAAUGGAGUCAAGCUACACUGCAUCUUGACCAAGGGCCAAGAAGGGGGGAUGGAGGUAGAAGUAGGGAUUAUAUCAAUACCACAUAAGAAACCCUUUGAAAUACACAUGCUCUGGGAUGUCUCUCCAUUCCCCACUGCACCCCUCUCGAAACAGAAGCAACUGAAAUUUACUUUAGGAUACUUCCUUGUAAUUGUUAAAAACAACCUCUACAUUAAUAAUGAAUCAAACUUUCUGCUUUGAGGAAAAGUUCCUGAUCCAAAGACCUGAAGCAUCUAACAAUUCCUUUAAGCUUUAGGUAUUUCCUACUUUCAAAAUGAAAUAUUAGCCAUAUAAGAUGAUUCUAACUUCUUGAUCAGGCUCAGAUCUGCCCUCUCCUCUCCAUUUUCACUGUCACGUGUGGCUCAAAC
rnacentral:lncRNA from 1 species